rnacentral:rRNA from 1 species
AUGGAGGGCCUCUUGCAUUGGGAUUUUUCCCCGGGCCUAGCCAUUGUGGAUCAGGUGAGAAGGAAAUUUGGAUCCACGGUGCACUUUCCCCCCUCUCGGGACUCCAAGGAGUUCUUUCUAGUGGCCUCAUUUUCCUCUGCCUCCUUUCCUCUUAAUGUGGAUGCAAUUGGAAUUGCUUUACAAUGAUGUAUUGGUGGCAUUAGCGUUGGUUUCAAUGUGAUCCAGCUCAACUCUAGAGCAUUUUGGUUUUCUGUUGCCAAUAAUAAAGUGGGACACUUCAUAUAUAGUCUUAAGGACCGCAUUUGGCUGGAUUUUGUUUGUCACUUUCAUCUGUUCACUGGCCGUUUUGCUCAUGCCCCAACCUUCAUCCAGUGCUGA